rnacentral:rRNA from 1 species
CGAAAGCCUGACGGAGCAAUACCGCGUGAGGGAGGAAGGCUCUUGGGUUGUAAACCUCAAAAAUUAGGGAAGAAGAAAGUGACGGUACCUAAUGUAAGCAUCGGCUAACUCCGUGCCAGCAGCCGCGGUAAUACGGAGGAUGCAAGCGUUAUCCGGAAUCAUUGGGCGUAAAGCGUCCGCAGGUGGUUUUUCAAGUCUGCUGUUAAAGACUGGAGCUCAACUCCGGAAAGGCAGUGGAAACUGAGAAACUAGAGUUCGGUAGGGGUAGCGGGGAUUCCCAGUGUAGCGGUGAAAUGCGUAGAGAUUGGGAAGAACACCAGUGGCGAAGGCGCUCUACUGGGCUUGUACUGACGCUGAGGGACGAAAGCUAGGGUAGCG